GGACUACCGGGGUAUCUAAUCCCGUUUGCUCCCCUAGCUUUCGCGCCUCAGCGUCAGAAGAGAUCCAGUGCGCCGCUUUCGCCUCCGGCGUUCCUUCCAAUAUCAACGCAUUUCACCGCUCCACUGGAAGUUCCGCACACCCCUAUCUCCCUCUAGGCAAACAGUAUCAGAGGCACUUCUACAGUUGAGCUGCAGGAUUUCACCCCUGACUUGUUUGACCGCCUACGCGCCCUUUAAGCCCAGUGAUUCCGAACAACGUUUGGACAGUUCGUCUUACCGCGGCUGCUGGCAC
rnacentral:rRNA from 1 species